UGCUUACCAAUGAUGGUGAAAAAAAAUGUCUGAACAAAUGAAUACAAAUGAUAUCAAUAUUUUCUCUGAGGUAAGCU